AUGCUUGGGAGUGCAAAGGAGGAAAUGGGAGUCUUUACAAAGGCUCUUCAGGGUACAGGCAGGAUGAAGAUUGGAAAAGUCCAUGCCCCGGAUAUUCGGUUUAGCCCAGCGGAAGUGGAGAGCAAGCUUGGGAGAAGACCUCGGGAGCACAUGCCGCGAUGCAUCUCGGUAGAGGUAGAUCACCUCAUAGAACAACCUCGGAAAUUCCAUAGGGUUCGUCACCUCCAAUACCAAACGAUUCCUGGGGAUUCUUUCCAGCUUUCUUUCUUGUAUCUCCAACAUUUUAAAGCGCUGGCAGGACAGCGUGAACCCUCAGUCCGAUAAAAUCAUUCUAGUUUCUAAUGCUGAGCCAGUUCACAAUGCCAAGGACUGAUAACAAGAAGACUCUUUCCUACAUCUCAGUGGCUGUGACUGUAACGCCUCCAGGAACAGUUUCCAGGCUGUACCUCCACAUGGAUUAUGUUUGCCCCAAGAUGAUGGCUGAGGACACCAGGGCCAGAAGCACCGCCUUUCCCAAGGCUCUUAGAUUCAGGAUCCUGAGCUGUCUCUGUCAGGGACUGACGGUGGGUGCAAGUUGAGGUGGUGCCAUUGAUUUAUUUUGCCUAACCCAGUAUGUGGCCAUCAGAGGGGAUGGCUGGCUCCUUUCUCCCUUGCUUGCCUGGAUGAUGGCCCAAAAGGUUGGACUGGUAGAACAACUCCCUCUCCUGCUCUCUCUCCUCCCUUUCCCCCACUAACCCAAAGCUCUCCCAAAAGGGUGCUAGACCAAGGACUCCCCAUCUCCACUGAGGACUGCUCUACCCUCCCUCCUUGGAGCUUUCCUCUUCUCUCAUCCCAUAAAACUGUGCUCAAGACAGCUACUCUUUCCUCUUUUGACAGGAGGGAUGGCAAUCUUCUCCCACAGGGCAGGACCGGACCAAAUUCCCUGUUUAUUACCCCAUUUUCUCUCUGGCACUUGAGUAGAAGUGUUCAUGUCUCAAGGUUGUCAGAUAUAGCACAGCUCACAGAUGUUAACAUAGCAAUUAGAAGCAAAGGUUUACAUGUACCGCCUUUGGACCAGGUGUGCCAUCCCACCCUGGGAUCUGUAUAUGUCUAUGAUUAGAAAUAAAUAGCAGGACUGCUAAGUGUGGAUAGAGAGC
rnacentral:lncRNA from 1 species